rnacentral:ncRNA from 1 species
UAAAUAAAAUGGAUUUUAUGUUUUUUCUAUUGAUUAAUCACAAUAGAAAACUAAGAUGGAAGCAGGUGUAAUUCCUGCGCGGUCCCGCCACUGUGAGUGAGGAGAAUGCUCUUAUAUAAACCACUGAUAUAUUAUUAUAUUGGGAAGGUAGAGCAGACUAUGAUACAUUAGCCAGGAGACAUGCAUAAAAUUUACUUCUGAG